GUGGGAUACGGUGAUAUCUACCCUAUGACUACGCCGGGUAGAUUAGUAGGCGCUGUGUGUUGUAUUUGUGGUGUGUUAGUUAUUGCGCUCCCGAUUCCUAUCAUCGUUAAUAAU
rfam:Crassostrea gigas strain 05x7-T-G4-1.051#20 contig30117, whole genome shotgun sequence.